CUACGGGAGGCUGCAGUGGGGAAUAUUGCACAAUGGGCGAAAGCCUGAUGCAGCAACGCCGCGUGGAGGAUGAAGCAUUUCGGUGUGUAAACUCCUUUUAUAAGAGAAGAUUAUGACGGUAUCUUAUGAAUAAGCACCGGCUAACUCCGUGCCAGCAGCCGCGGUAAUACGGAGGGUGCAAGCGUUACUCGGAAUCACUGGGCGUAAAGAACGCGUAGGCGGAUUUUUAAGUCUUGAGUGAAAUCCUAUGGCUCAACCAUAGAACUGCUUGAGAAACUGGAAAUCUAGAAUCUGGAAGAGGUAGAUGGAAUUAGUAGUGUAGGGGUAAAAUCCGUAGAUAUUACUAGGAAUACCAAAAGCGAAGGCAAUCUACUGGGACAGUAUUGACGCUGUGGCGUGAAAGCGUGGGGAGCAAACAGGAUUAGAUACCCGCGUAGUC
rnacentral:rRNA from 1 species